CUCAUGGCCAGUCAGCACCUGGGAGCACUGGCCCGUCUCGGUGAGCCAUAGGCGUGCGGUGUUGUCCGCCGAGGCGCGUGAUGCAAUUACAUAUUUCAUACCAUUCUAAUGGCUGUCAACAGAUUUUCAACAGUCAAACAUUUGCAUAGUACACAUUAGGCAAGGCACGGGCACAGGCACAGACACAGACACAGAUGCUGCCAACUCAACGUUUACGUCUGGGAACUACGUCUACUUUAUUGAAUAUAAUAUAAAAUAACC